rnacentral:lncRNA from 1 species
GUUCAUAUUCAUCAGAAAACAGUCUCAGCUGGAGAGAAUGAGGGAGCCGCAUUGUUCCCUCCCUUACUGCUUGCACAGAAAGAUAUAAGCUGUGGGGGGGAAGCUACCUGAGGUUAUUAAGAUUAAUACAGCUAGAGAUUCCAAUCAACUUGCACAAGGCUGCUCCUCAAGGCUGUCAGAUGCCUACUGCCUUCUUUUAUUCAGACGGGCCACAUCAAUUUGGAAUUUCCCAACAGAGACUGCUAUGAUUUAUGGGUUUAGGAGGCUGAUAGAUGUGGUUAGCUGAAGUGUUCAUGAGAUAAUUGAAUCAGAAUAAUUUCAGUCAGCUGUGUUCAAUUUAUUUUCUCCGAUAACCACAGGAGGGUGCAAUUUUGGAUUGGGAGCUUCAUCUCAAGGAUUCCUAUCACAGGAAAGACAUUGUGGAACUUGGAAUAAGAGCAACUUAAUUUUGCUGCCAGGCACAUAUGACAGCCUUACAAGCUGCCUAAGAUUCAUCAAAACUGGAGAACUGCUUCUCUGGCUUGGAUCAAGUGCCUUACCAAGGAGGCUUUUGCACGGCACAAUGUAAAUCUUGCUGGAGUAACUUAUCGGUGCAAAUGGAAAUCUAAAGAAAGUUUAUUACUGAAACAAAAGUACAAUCUGUAUUUCUGAAUUAUGAUAAUCUAUGGAAAUUAUUCUUGCAUACUGCCAUAUAAAGCAAUGAGAGAAAAAAUAGCCAGCAGUUCUUUUCUAUUGCUGGCUUCAAAUAGGUCAAGGUAAGAUGUUUGUAAACCUGGAAUUCCAUGUUGAAUUUCUUAUUUAAGCUGUAUUUUGGAAAAAUAUAGCACAAGAGUCACUAUUGAUUGCAAAGUGCUGGGAG